AGAGCUAGCACGCCACUGCCCAGGUCGACUACCACUCCCGGGCACCUCGGGAAGCGAACCAGAGACUGUCCCCUCCGCCAGCAUCCUAGAAGGCCAGGAAAGAGACGAGCUGAGCGCCUCCUUAAAGCUGCGCAGACUGCCCUCAAUCCCUCCCCCCUGGAGCUCCAACUGGUAGUCCCCUGCAUCAGCCUUGCCCAGCUUCUCCUUUCCUCCUCAGCUCAACUCCUGCUUGCCCUUCGGGAGACCCACCCUGGCCACCCUACAGAGGAGGUGCCCUUACCUGUGCCCGGGUGGGGUGCGGGGUCACAGGCCUGUCAUGUGUGAAUCAAUGUCUUCAGUUGCCCUGAAGUAGAGCGUAUCUUGUUGACCUUGAACUUCGGCAUUGAAGGACCCCUCUCCUGAGCUCUCAGCAUCACCUUUGGAGACGCCUAAUAGAAUGUGAGCAUCGUGUACUCUUCCUUCCAUUGCUCACAAAUGUGGCUGCUGCUUGCACACCAAGAACCAUCCUUAACAUGUAGGAGGCACUGGACAUCACUGAUUAAGGAGUGCUGACCUGGAGAUCCUCCCAGAGAGAAGGAUGUGAUUCCACAAGCCAACCUCACCUUGUUCUAGUGAUUGGCCCUCGUCACCACCCUGGGAAUUCUGAAGACUUGACUAGCAAGGGAUCAGCCACCAAAUAAUGGAAAUGCCCCUAAUAGUAACCAUCCCUAUACAUCUGCAAUCUAGCCUAGGGUCCUCGGAAAACAUAGGUGAACAAGACAACACUGGUUCUAACCUUGGAUGCCACAGUGGAAUGUCUACACUAUCCUGAAUUAAUUCAGCCAGAGUCCCUAGGGUGUGACCCAGGUAUCAACAUCUUUCUGUUGUUUAUUUUUGUCUUGUUUUUGUUUGUUUGUUUUUUGAGACAGGGUUCUCUGUGUAGCCCUGGCUGUCCUAGAACUCACUCUGUAGAUCAGGCUGGCCUCGAACUCAGAGAUCUGCCUGCCUCUGCCUCCUGAGCACUAAGAUUAAAGGUGUGCACCAA
rnacentral:lncRNA from 1 species